GAUCCUUUGUUUUAGUCUGGCUUGCAAUUUUAAUGUUAUUCCCACUUAUAGUUUUUUGUUAAUAUGGAAACAUAUACGUUAUGACUUCGAGCUUUGGCGACUCUUUACUUCUCUGCUUUACUCCGGGCCUUUAGGAUUUCCUUUCCUUACUAAUCUCUACUUAAUAUAUCAAUACUCUUCAUGGUUAGAAAAAGAAGAAUUUUCCGGAAGAAAAGCUGAUUUUGUUUUUAUGUUAAUAAUAAUAGCUGUUGCUUUAAUGGUGUUAGGGUUAAAUCCUUAUUAUCCUGCUUAUUACUUGGCAACGUCUUUGUCGAUGGCGUUAACAUAUAUCUGUUGCCAGCUUAAUAAAGAUGCCGUUGUUACAUUUUACUUUUCCAUUGCGUUGAAAGCCGUUUAUCUUCCUUGGGCACUUCUGUUGUUUUACACUUUACUUGGAGAUCCAAUUCGCCUUGAAAUAAUCGGGAUGAUUUCUGGGCAUUGCUACUAUUUUUUACAGUAUAUUUAUCCUCAACAUAGCGGGACUGUUUUACUUACUACUCCAAAAUUUCUUAAGAAAUAUUUUUCUGAUUCGCGCAUUUCACGCGUGCAGGGGGUUGGAGUCAUCUUCCGAUCUCGAACUUCUUCUGCCGGAGAGAGCAAAUCCAGC